rnacentral:rRNA from 1 species
UACGAAGGGGGCUAGCGUUGCUCGGAAUCACUGGGCGUAAAGGGUGCGUAGGCGGGUCUUUAAGUCAGGGGUGAAAUCCUGGAGCUCAACUCCAGAACUGCCUUUGAUACUGAAGAUCUUGAGUCCGGGAGAGGUGAGUGGAACUGCGAGUGUAGAGGUGAAAUUCGUAGAUAUUCGGCGGAACACCAGUGGCGAAGGCGACUCACUGGCCCGAUACUGACGCUUAGGCACGAAAGCGUGGGGAGCAAACAGG